rnacentral:SRP_RNA from 1 species
GCUGAGCUGAGUUACUCCAGCUUGUGACCCAAGUGGGAGCAUUAAUGCUUGGACAUCAACAUUGAGGCUUGCUGGGUUGUGCUGUAUUUGCAAUAUGUUGGCCUGCCCACUCCAGUUGGGAGAGAGUCUGGGGACUUUAGUGAAGGCAUAGGUCUCUAGGCUCUUAGAGUGGAGGACACAGCGUGAGGCUGGUGUCACAGAGCAGCGACAACCUCCCACUCCCAUCAGUGGAGGGAUCACAGGCUGCUGUAUCCACAGUACUUAAUGGCCUGGUGAGUCUAGUAUGCUUGGACAUCACCAUUU